rnacentral:rRNA from 1 species
CUAGGCGCACAGCUCAGUAGCACGUGGCUAACCUGCCCUUGGGACGGAGGCCCCCCGGGAAACUGGGGCUAAUCUCCGAUAGGUGAAGACUUCUGGAAUGGGUUUUUGCCUAAAGGGCGCUUAGGGCAUGCUUCUAAGCGUUGCCCAAGGAUGGGGCCGCGGCCGAUCAGGUUGUUGGUGAGGUAACGGCUCACCAAGCCUUUAACCGGUGCGGGCCGUGGGAGCGGGAGACCGGAGAUGGGCACUGAGACAAGGGCCCAGGCCCUACGGGGCGCAGCAGUUGCGAAAACUCUGCAAUGCACGAAAGUGUGACAGGGCUAUCCCGAGUGGCCUCCGCUGAGGAUGGCUUUUCUCUGCUGUAAGGAGGCGGAGGAAUAAGGAGAGGGCAAGUCUGGUGUCAGCCGCCGCGGUAAUACCAGCUCUCCGAGUGGUGGGAAUGAUUAUUGGGCUUAAAGCGUCCGUAGCCGGCCCUUCAAGUCUCUCGUUAAAUCCAGCGAUUCAAUCGUUGGACUGCAGGAGAUACUGCUGGGCUAGAGGGCGGGACAAGCCGACGGUAUUCCCUGGUUAUGGGGUAAAUCCUAUAAUCCUGGGAAGACCACCAGUGGCGUAGGCGGUCGGCUAGCACGCGCUUGACGGUGAGGGACGAAAGCUGAGGGAGCGAACCGGAUUAGAUACCCGGGUAGUCCCAGCUGUAAACGAUGCGGGCUAGGUGUUGGAGCGGCUACGAGCCGCUUCAGUGCCGCAGGGAAGCCAUUAAGCCCGCCGCCUGGGGAUACCGCCCGGCAGGCUGAACAUAAAGGCCA